GACGAACGCUGGCGGCGUGCUUAACACAUGCAAGUCGAACGGUAAGGCCCUUCGGGGUACACGAGUGGCGAACGGGUGAGUAACACGUGGGUGAUCUGCCCUGCACUUCGGGAUAAGCCUGGGAAACUGGGUCUAAUACCGGAUAGGACCACUGCCUGCAUGGGUGGUGGUGGAAAGCUUUUGCGGUGUGGGAUGGGCCCGCGGCCUAUCAGCUUGUUGGUGGGGUGAUGGCGUACCAAGGCGACGACGGGUAGCCGGCCUGAGAGGGUGACCGGCCACACUGGGACUGAGAUACGGCCCAGACUCCUACGGGAGGCAGCAGUGGGGAAUAUUGCACAAUGGGCGCAAGCCUGAUGCAGCGACGCCACGUGAGGGAUGACGGCCUUCGGGUUGUAAACCUCUUUCAGCACCGACGAAGCGCAAGUGACGGUAGGUGCAGAAGAAGGACCGGCCAACUACGUGCCAGCAGCCGCCGCUG
rnacentral:rRNA from 1 species